GAUGAACGCUGGCGGCGUGCCUAAUACAUGCGAGUCGAGCGAACGGACGAGAAGCUUGCUUCUCUGAUGUUAGCGGCGGACGGAUGAGUAACACGUGGAUAACCUACCUAUAAGACUGGGAUAACUUCGGGAAACCGUAGCUAAUACCGGAUAAUAUUUUGAACCGCAUGGUUCAAAAGUGAAAGACGGUCUUGCUGUCACUUAUAGAUGGAUCCGCGCUGCAUUAGCUAGUUGGUAAGGUAACGGCUUACCAAGGCAACGAUGCAUAGCCGACCUGAGAGGGUGAUCGGCCACACUGGAACUGAGACACGGUCCAGACUCCUACGGGAGGCAGCAGUAGGGAAUCUUCCGCAAUGGGCGAAAGCCUGACGGAGCAACGCCGCGUGAGUGAUGAAGGUCUUCGGAUCGUAAAACUCUGUUAUUAGGGAAGAACAUAUGUGUAAGUAACUGUGCACAUCUUGACGGUACCUAAUCAGAAAGCCACGGCUAACUACGUG
rnacentral:rRNA from 1 species